rnacentral:rRNA from 1 species
GAUGAACGCUCGCUACAGGCUUAACACAUGCAAGUCGAGGGGAAACGGCAUCGAAAGCUUGCUUUUGAUGGGCGUCGACCGGCGCACGGGUGAGUAACGCGUAUCCAACCUGCCCAUCACUUGGGAAUAACCUUGCGAAAGUAAGACUAAUGCCCAAUGACUUCCCACGAAGGCAUCCGAAUGGGAUUAAAGAUUUAUCGGUGAUGGAUGGGGAUGCGUCUGAUUAGCUUGUUGGCGGGGUGACGGCCCACCAAGGCAACGAUCAGUAGGGGUUCUGGGAGGAAGGUCCCCCACAUUGGAACUGAGACACGGUCCAAACUCCUACGGGAGGCAGCAGUGAGGAAUAUUGGUCAAUGGGCGAGAGCCUGAACCAACCAAGUAGCGUGCAGGAUGACGGCACUAUAGGUUGUAAACUGCUUUUAAAAGGGAAUAAAGUGGGUCACGUGUGACUUUUUGCAUGUACCUUAUGAAUAAGGGCCGGCUAAUUCCGUG